rnacentral:misc_RNA from 1 species
UGGUUCUGGCAUCGAUGAAGAACGCAGCGAAAUGCGAUAAGUAAUGUGAAUUGCAGAAUUCAGUGAAUCAUCGAAUCUUUGAACGCACAUUGCGCCCGCCAGCAUUCUGGCGGGCAUGCCUGUUCGAGCGUCAUUUCAACCCUCGAGCCCGACUUCCUUGCGGAGGACGGCUCGGCGUUGGGGGACGGCACACUCCCCCCGGUUCGCCGGGGACGCCGCCCCCGAAAUUCAGUGGCGGCCCUCGGAGGCGACCUCUGCGUAGUAACUCAACCUCGCAAAGGAAAGCUUCGAGCGGCCACGCCGUGAAACCCCAACUCUUUAAGGUUGACCUCGAAUCAGGUAGGACUACCCGCUGA